rnacentral:rRNA from 1 species
GGANAGGUGGGAGGCGUUGAAAGUUUUCUUGCGGGAAGAUUUGAGCCAUUGGUGAGAUACCACUCUAACAAUGCUAGGAUUCUAACCCUAUGUCGUUAUCCGGCUAGGGGACAGUUUCAGGUGGUCAGUUUGACUGGGGCGGUCGCCUCCUAAAAGGUAACGGAGGCGUGCAAAGGUUCCCUCAGGCUGGUUGGAAAUCAGUCGUAGAGUGUAAAGGCAUAAGGGAGCUUGAUUGUGAGACCUACAAGUCGAACAAAGACGAAAGUCGGCCUUAGUGAUCCGGCGGUACCGAGUGGAAGGGCCGUCGCCCAACGGAUAAAAGUUACUCUAGGGAUAACA